UACGGAAGGCAGCAGUGGGGAAUAUUGCACAAUGGGCGCAAGCCUGAUGCAGCCAUGCCGCGUGUAUGAAGAAGGCCUUCGGGUUGUAAAGUACUUUCAGUCGUGAGGAGGUGUUAAGGUUAAUAACCUUAGCAAUUGACGUUAGCGACAGAAGAAGCACCGGCUAACUCCGUGCCAGCAGCCGCGGUAAUACGGAGGGUGCGAGCGUUAAUCGGAAUUACUGGGCGUAAAGGGCACGCAGGCGGUUAAUUAAGUUGGAUGUGAAAUCCCCGGGCUUAACCUGGGAAUGGCAUUCAAGACUGGUUAGCUAGAGUCUUGUAGAGGGGGUAGAAUUCCAUGUGUAGCGGUGAAAUGCGUAGAGAUGUGGAGGAAUACCGGUGGCGAAGGCGGCCCCUGGACAAAGACUGACGCUCAUGUGCGAAAGCGUGGGGAGCAAAC
rnacentral:rRNA from 1 species